UGGGGAAUAUUGGACAAUGGGGGGAACCCUGAUCCAGCCAUGCCGCGUGUGUAAAGAAGGCCUUAUGGUUGUAAAGCACUUUAAGCGAGGAGGAGGGUACUGGUAUUAAUACUACCAGGUACUGGACGUUACUCGCAGAAUAAGCACCGGCUAACUCUGUGCCAGCAGCCGCGGUAAUACAGAGGGUGCGAGCGUUAAUCGGAAUUACUGGGCGUAAAGCGCGCGUAGGUGGUUCGUUAAGUUGAAUGUGAAAGCCCCGGGCUCAACCUGGGAACUGCAUCCAAAACUGGCGAGCUAGAGUAGGGCAGAGGGUGGUGGAAUUUCCUGUGUAGCGGUGAAAUGCGUAGAUAUAGGAAGGAACACCAGUGGCGAAGGCGACCACCUGGGCUCAUACUGACACUGAGGUGCGAAAGCGUGGGGAGCAAACAGG
rnacentral:rRNA from 1 species